rnacentral:rRNA from 1 species
UAAUACGUAGGGCGCAAGCGUUGUCCGGAAUUAUUGGGCGUAAAGAGCUCGUAGGCGGCUUGUCGCGUCGGUUGUGAAAGCCCGGGGCUUAACCCCGGGUCUGCAGUCGAUACGGGCAGGCUAGAGUUCGGUAGGGGAGAUCGGAAUUCCUGGUGUAGCGGUGAAAUGCGCAGAUAUCAGGAGGAACACCGGUGGCGAAGGCGGAUCUCUGGGCCGAUACUGACGCUGAGGAGCGAAAGCGUGGGGAGCGAACAGGAUUAGAUACCCUGGUAGUCCACGCCGUAAACGGUGGGAACUAGGUGUUGGCGACAUUCCACGUCGUCGGUGCCGCAGCUAACGCAUUAAGUUCCCCGCCUGGGGAGUACGGCCGCAAGGCU